rnacentral:rRNA from 1 species
UACGGAGGAUGCAAGCGUUAUCCGGAAUGAUUGGGCGUAAAGCGUCCGCAGGUGGCAAUGUAAGUCUGCUGUCAAAGCGUCUGGCUCAACCAGAUAAAGGCAGUGGAAACUACAUAGCUAGAGUAAGGUAGGGGUAGAGGGAAUUCCUGGUGUAGCGGUGAAAUGCGUAGAGAUCAGGAAGAACACCGGUGGCGAAAGCGCUCUGCUGGACCUUAACUGACACUGAGGGACGAAAGCUAGGGGAGCAAACGGG